AACGAACGCUGGCGGCGUGCUUAACACAUGCAAGUCGAACGCGAAAGGGACUUCGGUCCUGAGUAAAGUGGCGCACGGGUGAGUAACGCGUAGAUAACCUGUCUUCACGUCUGGAAUAAUACGCCGAAAGGGGUACUAAUACCGGAUAUUCUUGCUUUUCAUAAGUUUUGCAAGGAAAGGUGGCCUCUGAAUAUGCUACUGCGCGAAGAGUGGUCUGCGUACCAUUAGCUAGUAGGUGGGGUAAUGGCCUACCUAGGCUACGAUGGUUAGCGGGUCUGAGAGGAUGAUCCGCCACACUGGCACUGGAACACGGGCCAGACUCCUACGGGAGGCAGCAGUGAGGAGUAUUGCGCAAUGGGGGAAACCCUGACGCAGCGACGCCGCGUGAGUGAGGAAGGCCUUCGGGUCGUAAAGCUCUGUCAAAGGGAAAGAAGUGCAUGAUGGCUAAUACCUGUCAUGUUUGACGGUACCCUUAAAGGAAGCACCGGCUAACUCCGUGCCAGCAGCCGCGGUAACAC
rnacentral:rRNA from 1 species